CCUACGGGUGGCAGCAGUGGGGAAUAUUGGACAAUGGGGGAAACCCUUAUCCAGCGACGCCGCGUGAGGGAAGAAGGUUUUCGGAUUGUAAACCUCUGACAGUGGGGACGAUAAUGACGGUACCCACGGAGGAAGCCACGGCUAACUACGUGCCAGCAGCCGCGGUAAUACGUAGGUGGCAAGCGUUGUCCGGAAUUACUGGGUGUAAAGGGAGCGUAGGCGGGAUGACAAGUCAGAAGUGAAAAUUAUGGGCUAAACUCCAUCCAGCCGUUGAAACUGAGGAUCUUGAGUGGGCGAGAGGUAUGCGGAAUGCGUGGUGUAGCGGUGAAAUGCAUAGAUAUCACGAAGAACUCCGAUUGCGAAGGCAGCAUACCGGCGCCCGACUGACGCUGAAGCACGAAAGCGUGGGUAUCGAACAGGAUUAGAUACCCGGGUAGUC
rnacentral:rRNA from 1 species